rnacentral:tRNA from 1 species
GCCGCAAUGGUGGAAUUGGUAGACACGAGGGACUUAAAAUCCCUUGGCCAGAAAUGGCUGUGCGGGUUCGAGUCCCGCUCGCGGCACCU